rnacentral:rRNA from 2 species
CUGUGAAGAUGCAGUGUACCCGCGGCAAGACGGAAAGACCCCGUGAACCUUUACUAUAGCUUGACACUGAACAUUGAGCCUUGAUGUGUAGGAUAGGUGGGAGGCUUUGAAGUGUGGACGCCAGUCUGCAUGGAGCCGACCUUGAAAUACCACCCUUUAAUGUUUGAUGUUCUAACGUGGACCCGUAAUCCGGGUUGCGGACAGUGUCUGGUGGGUAGUUUGACUGGGGCGGUCUCCUCCUAAAGAGUAACGGAGGAGCACGAAGGUUGGCUAAUCCUGGUCGGACAUCAGGAGGUUAGUGCAAUGGCAUAAGCCAGCUUGACUGCGAGCGUGACGGCGCGAGCAGGUGCGAAAGCAGGUCAUAGUGAUCCGGUGGUUCUGAAUGGAAGGGCCAUCGCUCAACGGAUAAAAGGUACUCCGGGGAUAACAGGCUGAUACCGCCCAAGAGUUCAUAUCGACGGCGGUGUUUGGCACCUCGAUGUCGGCUCAUCACAUCCUGGGGCUGAAGUAGGUCCCAAGGGUAUGGCUGUUCGCCAUUUAAAGUGGUACGCGAGCUGGGUUUAGAACGUCGUGAGACAGUUCGGUCCCUAUCUGCCGUGGGCGCUGGAGAACUGAGGGGGGCUGCUCCUAGUACGAGAGGACCGGAGUGGACGCAUCACUGGUGUUCGGGUUGUCAUGCCAAUGGCACUGCCCGGUAGCUAAAUGCGGAAGAGAUAAGUGCUGAAAGCAUCUAAGCACGAAACUUGCCCCGA